GUCGAGAAUCUUUCACAAUGGGGGCAACCCUGAUGGAGCGACGCCGCGUGGAGGAUAAGGUCUUCGGAUUGUAAACUCCUGUCAUGCGUGAACAAGGUUGCUUGGUUAAUACCUGGUCAAAUUGAUGGUAGCGCAAGAGGAAGAGACGGCUAACUCUGUGCCAGCAGCCGCGGUAAUACAGAGGUCUCAAGCGUUGUUCGGAAUCACUGGGCGCAAAGGGUGCGUAGGUGGCGUGGCAAGUCAGAUGUGAAAGCCCGGGGCUCAACCUCGGAACUGCAUCAGAUACUGCCAUGCUAGAGUACUGGAGGGGUGACUAGAAUUCUCGGUGUAGCAGUGAAAUGCGUAGAUAUCGAGAGGAAUACCAAAGGCGUAGGCAGGUCACUGGACAGUUACUGACACUGAGGCACGAAGGCCAGGGGAGCGAACGGGAUUAGAAACCCGGGUAGUCC
rnacentral:rRNA from 1 species